GAAUAUCUGCUGCUUCAAGGAAGAUGAGCUAUACCUCGAACAAGCUCCUACCAGGCAACCCACAGAAUUGCAAUGAGAAGCAGAGCCCAGCCUUAGAGCACCUGAACCUAGUCAAAUUGCAGUUGUUCCAUAAAGACCUGCAAAUUAGGAACUGAUGAACCUGCAACUUCUUCUGCUUCAAUGUUGCUAUUCGCCUGAAGUGACAUGUCUGGAACCUGGUGCUUGUGCAUAUUACUGCUUAUCUGUUUCAGGCAAGCACAGACAAGCAUUUGUUCUAUCCGGAAGAAAGAGAGACCCAGAGAGAUGGAGGACUUACCCAAGGCCACUUAGCUGGUUAGUGAUACCAGGGCUAGAACGUCUGGCAUGCAUCCCAAUCCUUGUAUUUCCUUUUUUCUGUACCAUACUACCAGGUUGUGUUUGGAGGGAAUUUUUAUGAACUAACUUCAGUGAUAUUAGAUUAAAAAAAAAAGAACUGUUUAAAUGAAUUUUAGGUAGUCUUUACAUUUCUCCCUGAUCUAUGUGAUUUUUAUUGGCUUUAAUGUUAUGUGGAACUUUGGUUUAAUUACAGAAAAAACAGUAAUGAAAAUAGAACUAGAGGCAAGUCACAGACUGUUUCUUCAUUUAUAAGAUGAAGGGUUCAGAUCAGAGAAUCUUGAUGGUUUUUCUGCUUCUCAACAUUUCAUUGGCAUCCUUUUUCCUUUUUUGUCCCCUGCUUAGGCCCAUUGACUUCACUAAUAAGUAAAUACUUUCCCUAUGUAUUAUCACAAAAUACUCUGUUCAGUUCUUUAUAGAGGAUAAUCUACUCUCAAGCUGUUUUUCUUGUCUUUUUAAAAAAUUUUUAUUUGUGUAAAAUAUGCAUAACACAAAAUUUACCAUUUUAACCAUUUUUAAAUGUACAGUGCAGUGGUAUUAAAUAC